rnacentral:tRNA from 1 species
GGUAAAAUGGCUGAGAUUGAAGUAUUAGACUGUAAAUCUAAAGACAGAGGUUAGACCUCUUUUUACCA